UAUAUUAAUGAAAUCUGAACAUUCUUCAAAAUAACAAAACCAACAAAAGGAUUAAAUUGGGCAGUCGUUGAGUUUGUUGGUGAGAGAGAAAAGGGCUAUGGAGAAAUUUCUUUGUCGCAGCGAAGAAGAGAGGAAGUUUCAAUUUUUGAUUGAAAGGAUGUUGUCGACCGACUAUUAAUUCGGCGCCAGAAUUUGUUGGCUCUAUUGGCUACCCAUAGCUAGAUGAGAUUAAAAUUGUCAUGGAUCUCUCCUAUGAUUAUUUGGCGAUAGCUCUUGGAGUUUUCAUUGGUGACAAGUCUUUUUUUUCUCGGCAGUGUUGUGUGCUAUCGAUUGUUUUGCGGUGCUCCUUUCUCCAGAGCAGUAUGUUUGGGUAUGAAUUGAUGGGUCUAGGCUAGUUGCUUGUUGGUUUGCUGGGUUUGUGAAUUGUUGGACUUGAUAUUGUGGACUUUUAUCUCUUGCUAUUUACUUUUUGUUGCCUUGUUGGAAUUUUGUAUAA